rnacentral:rRNA from 1 species
GACGGAGGGGGCUAGCGUUGUUCGGAAUUACUGGGCGUAAAGGGCGCGUAGGCGGCCUUCUAAGUCGAACGUGAAAUCCCCGGGCUCAACCCGGGAACUGCGUCCGAUACUGGAAGGCUUGAAUCCGGGAGAGGGAUGCGGAAUUCCAGGUGUAGCGGUGAAAUGCGUAGAUAUUGGGAGGAACACCAGUGGCGAAGGCGGCUCACUGGACCGGAACUGACGCUGAGGCGCGAAAGCGUGGGGAGCAAACGGG